AACGCUAGCUACAGGCUUAACACAUGCAAGUCGAGGGGCAGCAUGAACUUAGCUUGCUAAGUUUGAUGGCGACCGGCGCACGGGUGAGUAACACGUAUCCAACCUGCCGAUGACUCGGGGAUAGCCUUUCGAAAGAAAGAUUAAUACCCGAUGGCAUAAUUCUUCCGCAUGGUAGAAUUAUUAAAGAAUUUCGGUCAUCGAUGGGGAUGCGUUCCAUUAGGUUGUUGGCGGGGUAACGGCCCACCAAGCCUUCGAUGGAUAGGGGUUCUGAGAGGAAGGUCCCCCACAUUGGAACUGAGACACGGUCCAAACUCCUACGGGAGGCAGCAGUGAGGAAUAUUGGUCAAUGGACGAGAGUCUGAACCAGCCAAGUAGCGUGCAGGAUGACGGCCCUAUGGGUUGUAAACUGCUUUUAUAAGGGAAUAAAGUGAGCCUCGUGAGGCUUUUUGCAUGUACCUUAUGAAUAAGGACCGGCUAAUUCCGUGCCAGCAGCCGCGGUAAUACGGAAGGUCCGGGCGUUAUCCGGAUUUAUUGGGUUUAAAGGGAGCGUAGGCCGGAGAUUAAGCGUGUUGUGAAAUGUAGGCGCUCAACGUCUGCACUGCAGCGCGAACUGGUUUCCUUGAGUACGCACAAAGUGGGCGGAAUUCGUGGUGUAGCGGUGAAAUGCUUAGAUAUCACGAAGAACUCCGAUUG
rnacentral:rRNA from 1 species